ACCCAUGGAGCUCGUGAGGUAGAGCUCCAGGCCUUCGGGCCUGGAGGAUCGGGUUCAAACCCCGACAUGGGCA